AAAAGCACAAUUCAUCGGAUUCUUGAGAUCUCGAAACCCUAACCCUAAUUCCAAGCCAAUCGAGAAGGGAGAGGAGGAAGAUUUUGGAGAUUUGGGCGAGGCGAAGCUUUCGAAUAUAUAACAAAAGAUUUAUAAGUUUCGCUUAAGCCUUUAUUAAAGUGAAAUAUAUAACAAAAUUAAAAUGGCAACUUUCAGUCAGUUUAUAUAUUAAAAAUUCCUUAUUGUGACUAAUUAAACCUAUUUCCGCUAAGAGGUAUUCA
rnacentral:lncRNA from 1 species